GCCUGGCUGGCUCAGUUGGUGGAGCGUGAGACUCUUGAUCUCAGAGUGGUGAGUUUGAGCCCUACAUUGGGUA
rnacentral:tRNA from 1 species